ensembl:lncRNA
UUUUAAUAUUAACCAAAUCACAUUUUUAUCUAUUACAGAAAAUCGAACAAAAACACUGGGAUAGCACAACAUAGCACAAUAAAUAAACCAAGAUAAACACGACCCAGAAACGUUUCUGUGUUUUAACAAAGAGUUAUUGCUAGAACAACAGAGAGGGAGUGUUACUCUGGUGUAUAGAAUGCAUAUGAACAAACAACUGAAAUGACACCCCUGCGUCACUACUGGCCAGAGACACAUACUAUGUAGUGUUUGUCCCCAUCUGUCCUUUGUAGUGCACUAUGUAGGGUAGGGUGUCAUUAGAGAUGCAGAGGUCUAGACGUGAAAAAGGGAGGGACCAUGUUGCCAGAGAUAUGAAACCUGGAGACAUAGAAACAGUACACAUCCUCUGCUACAGAUGUGGAUCAAACAGGAAAUGAAUCACGUUAUCUUAAUCUUAAUCUCUUCAUCUUCAUUUUAAUUGUCUUUGUCAAAACACAAUUUAUUCAUUACUGCCACUCAAGCCCUCUAGGGGCUCGAUUCAAUCCGUAGUGCUAAAGAUCUACGCUAUAGCGCGUUAGCAAUUUCAAGGCAAUGCUCGCGCGUUAGCGGAGACUGCAUUCACAGUCCACACUGCAUACAGUAUAAAUGGGUUAGCUGACAACGUCACAAAAAAACGAUGUGCGCGCUUCCAUGGGGCAGAAGUCAGUGUGUUGUUAUGAUUCUGGAUGGACAAAUUGCUAGCAAGAAUGACAAGAAACUGCCAUGUAAGAAAUUGUAAGUAGCUCGUUUCAUCUUGUUCUUGAUACCAUGUCUUGUUUUGAGGUGUUUUGGCUGUCACAUCUAUGCUAAGAUGGCUAAGAUUCGCUAACUAGCUAACCAACAACUGUAGCGAUGUAUUUGUGAGACAAGAAGUGCUGAUUGUGUACAUGUAUAAUCAACAAUAAGAAACAUUCAAGACAUGGUAUUUAUCAAAAAACUAAAAAUCAUGACAGUCUUUAUUAAAAAAGGUACGCUUAUUUUCUAUAAAAUGCACUGAUAGGUGUACAGUACUUUCCAUCCACAGUUGUCCUUCAUUGUAAAAUAAAGAACCCUAAUCCUAACCCUAGCCUUCAUUGUAGAACAAAGAACUCUAACCUUAACCCUAGCCUUCAUUGUAGAACAAAGAACUCUAACCUUAACCCUAGCCUUCAUUGUAGAACAAAGAACCCUAACCCUAACCCUAGCCUUCAUUGUAGAACAAAGAACCCUAACCCUAACCCUAGCCUUCAUUGUAGAACAAAGAACCCUAACCCUAACCCUAGCCUUCAUUGUAGAACAAAGAACCCUAACCCUAACCCUAGCCUUCAUUGUAGAACAAAGAACCCUAACCCUAACCCUAGCCUUCAUUGUAGAACAAAGAACUCUAACCUUAACCCUAGCCUUCAUUGUAGAACAAAGAACUCUAACCUUAACCCUAGCCUUCAUUGUAGAACAAAGAACCCUAACCCUAGCCUUCAUUGUAGAACAAAGAACCCUAACCCUAACCCUAGCCUUCAUUGUAGAACAAAGAACCCUAACCCUAACCCUAGCCUU